CCAAACAGAGCCAUGUUAUGUUGCCUUCCAGUACCUACUAGGCUCCCUACUGAGACAAGCUGUGUAAUUUUUGACUCUUCUCUCGCUUUAAUUCCAGGAGUUAAAAGUGAAAAUCUUUGGAGAAGAACCACUCUGACAAACAGGCUUCCUUCUCACAGCACGAUGGGAGAACACGGGACACGUGGACGUAAGAGAGCAGGUCAACGUCAUCUGUCUUGAUUUCAGAAGGGGUCUGGAGACUCCUUGUCGUUCCCAUAAGCAAGUCAGUCAAACGCGAUCCCAGUAAGCCACAUCAGGGUGAGCACGAAGCUGAAUUACCUCCCCAAGGGAACUGCCAGCUGUGUUCUUCUGCUUUACUCAGCACUGGGAAUGCCACAGCUGGCCUCUGUCCUGCCCUCAGUGACACUUUUCCAGAAGAGAGCAAUGCAAGUGCCCAGGGAUGCAGAAUUGUCAGCUAUGGAAAAGAAAGAAGCACCACAGCCCUUCCUAACCUAAAGGAGAAAGCAGUACAGAGGUAGGCUUUCAAAUUGUGAAGAUUGUUAUUAAAAAACACUGUGCCAUUUUUACUCUUUCAUUGGAAGCAAGCUGUGGGGUUGGGCAGUCAGAGAGGGAGCCCCAGCCCACUGCUAACCCUGCCAAGCCAUAUGAGCUGUGUUGGCUUGUUUGGGGUGGGUAUUCCCAAAUCCAGUAAAACGAGUUGCUUCUCCCCUACAUAUCUCACUGUAAUCAGUUCUGGUGAAACAUCAGAAGGCAGCAUUCAGAAUGUGAUCAAAUUGAAUAAUUUAAUAUCUUUGAGCGUGUUUACUGAGCCUCACCUCUUCCAUUUUAAGCACAGCACAUUGGCUAUAGGUUUCUCUCACAAUUACAGUAAUUUAUUUCACAAUAUCUGUAGCAGAUGCUGAGCUUGCUUCUAUUAUUAUCUGCCUUACGGGUUUUUCUGUGGGGAAUUUUUAGCUAUUGCAGCACGUCAGGAACAUGGGUUUUGUCUGUUCAAUCCAUGUUCCCACCCCAUGCCCCUAACUGGCAUCUCCAGCAUAAUACCACCUGUCCUGAAAGGGAGGGUUAUGGCUGCUAAAUUCAAGUUAAUGCCCUUUUCUUACCUGUGGCAAAUUUUUCUACUUCUUUUCUUGCUACUGAAUCAAAAACUCUGACUUCUUUGAUGUAGUCUUGUUGAGACAGGAGCUCUGUGAUCUUUUCCCCAAUAAAACCACAUCCUCCUGUCACCAGGUAGAUCUGGGCUCCAUCCAUUUCUGAGGACGUUUUUGUGGUUGAGGAGCAGAGAGAAGGCUGUGGCUGAGAUCCUAUCGCGCACUGUUGAUCUCAGCCAAUAUGUUUUCUGAUCUAAGUCUGAAGUCUAACCUUCACAGUGUUAGUGUUAUUGGCUGAACAUUAACUCCAUCCAGUUAUACAUAAGUCAGCUUUUUGCUGGCACAGCCAUAGUGGUGCUGCACACUGCUCUGGUCAUUCUGACUCAGCCUUUCCCUUCCACUCAGUGGUGUAGGAUCAGUGGGACACCUCCAGCUUGUCUUGGUCCUUGGCCAAUCUCAGCCCACAGUUGCCACACUGAGUGUUUUUCAUGGUCAGUUGGCACAGCUUGGACCUCUGGGGGCUGUGCAAAGAGUGCACGUCCUGGAGGUGUGCUCCGGGCAUCCCUCAUUUAGUAUGAAGCUACUAAAAAGCUAAUGAAUUUGUAUAGAUGGUGAAACAGCAGCAGAUCUACCCAGCGCUGUGCGGGACUGCACGUAAUGGAGGCAGGUUCAACAAUGGGCAUUUGUAAUGUCCAUGAUGGCAAUGGUAUGGCUUUGCUGAAUUAAUUCUGCCUGGAAUUGGAAUAUACGGACACACAUACACACAUACACAUAAUUAGGAGGAGAAAGUCCACUUAAUUUGAAAAAUGUGUAGUAGCAAAGGCUGUACCACAUCUUCUGGCAAAUUGUUGCAGUAAUUAAUCACUGUCAUUGUUAAGAGCGGACUGUUGUGUUUUAUUUAAUGGACAGUGCCUAAUAUACCUUUUCCUUGCUGAACUAUGGACAUGUGUUAUCCAGUUUGUCGUGUGGAUAAAAAAUGGGAUUGAAGGGUUAAGAUGGUUUAUUCAAAGGCUAUCAGUAUUUUGCCUGUGUGUGUUUUGGGGAUGGCUCCUGCUAGAAGUGCAAGCUGUUAACUCUGCCAUUGAUUUUCCUUGUGCUGUGUUAAGCACUGGGAAAAGAACCAUUUCCCCCAUGAUUACAGUCCCUGGCCACAAAGGCCCAGAGACCAGCACAGACCUGAUGUUAAUUGGUACUUGGCAGACCAGUGCAGCCACAAACGUCCCAAGAAAUUAAUUUGGCCUUUUAUCCAGCAACUCCCAAUCUGUAAGGUAGUGAUUAACAGCCCUGCCUUCCCUCAGGGGACAUGUGCAAGCAUAAAUAUAUCAGUUGGAGGUGUUUGGACACAAAAACAAGAUAAAUACACCCUGAAGGACCCGGAGCAGUGCUGCAUGGGAAUGUUUGGCAACAAGUUACCUUGAGCAUCUCCUGAUCAGCACUGCAAAAAAUUCUGCGUGAAGUCGAGGCCUUGACUCUGUGGACAUUUCUCAUUGUUUACAAUACUACAAUAGUGAUAUCUGCUUAUCUAUGGUGUGAUCUGAUCAGUGGGGAGAGAACUGGCUGUGAUUUACACAUCUCCUGUUUGUAAUAGGGAGCAAAAACAAGUUCAGAAACCAGACCCGUCACCUACGACACUUUGGGUUCUUUGCCAUCUCCUGCCAUGCUUGGCUAUGGGGACUUCCUUGAAAUGCAGGAUGUGCAAACUUUACGUUGCUUGAAGGCUUACCAAGGCUUCCUUCCCUUCUUUCCUUCCUUCCCUUCUUUCCUUCCUUCCCUUCUUUCCUUCCUUCCCUUCUUUCCUUCUUCCCCUUCUUUCCUUCAUUCCUUCCCUGCCCACACUUCCGUACAUACAGUGAGAGAAAGCUGAGAUGGCAGGAAAGAAAAACAGAUGCCUUAAUUUCAGGAUGCAUUCUGCUUGAACUUGCUCUGAACUUCGUAAAUACAGGACACCUGACAUCACACUCAUUUACAGUAUGUUUAUUUGUCAGUGCAUUACAUGAAAGGUCUUUGGUAUUUGUGGGUUCUUGAAUACUGUUCCCACUCUGCUCUGUACGAAAAUGCUGAAUACAAAACAUUCCAUAUACAGUAACAAAACCCAUAGCAAAUAAAGAGAAAUAGGUAUCUUGAACAAUAACAUAGCGAUAUGAAAACAGGUAAGUAACCAUGCAAGAGGUGGAACAGACAGGUUGUGUUUACAACAAACAUUAGAGCCUGCCAUAAAUUAACUCGUGUCACAAGAGGUUAUUUAUUCGUGAUCUAAGUUAAGAAACUACACGACUGCAAAAUACUGCCUGUGGCCGCCCUAUUAAAGACCAAAUGUUGUAUAGCUUAUUACAAUGGGACCAUUUGCACACAUACAAAACACACCGAUAUAAAUAAAAAGAUACUGUGUAAAAUAAGUAGUGAAAAAGUUAACAUUUCCUUCUACGGGUGGGAAUGUGCGCUGUGGACAGUUAUAGCACCUUUGAAUUGCCUGGUUUCAAAGCAAUCAUGGAAACUGCAAGUAGUUUAACCCCUAUACCACCAAGCAUGGAAUGUAAUCUCAAGCAGAAGCUGUAAACAUGGAAGAGAAAGAAUUUCCAAUAUAUUGUACUAACAAGUAAUUCCAGAAGCUGAUUGUCUUUUGGAAGCCUUUGUCACAGUGGUCAGGUUCAUUACAUUGAAACAGUUCAUUGCAGAGACUGGGAUUGAAACUGAACCCCAGAGCCAAACUUUCAGAAAGCCACAUGUGAGCCAUGUGCUCUGCUCCACUGCAAGCAGCACCAGUUCCUGUGAGCUGGAGACUUGGAUCUGCUUGUUAUGGUCUGUCCCUGUUCCUAUGGAAGGUGAUGGCAAAAUUACUGUGGAGUCUGGUGGGAGCAGACGAGGGUUCUUCUCUCUCAUUAAUUCUUUUUUCCCCAGGUUGCUAUCAAUUCUUUACAGUAAGUGCAAAUUGGAUACUCUGGAGAGAAGCAUUCUCCCCCUCCCAGGAGUACCAGAUUGCUGGUGAACGUCAGGGUGCACAAGUUGCAAAGAUUUUCAGUUGUGCAAUGUGCUUCUGGUUAGCUCAGGGCAAGGAAAAUGCAUUUCUACCACCAGAACUGAUCCAAGUUAAGAACACGCUGGCGUUCAAAGAAACAUGAAGAAUUACAAAGAAGUCUUAGGAAGAAAAGGAAAAGAACACACUAUGGUAUUGCACAGUAUGCAGGUAAGAUAAAGCACUAAACAUUUCAAUUAGAAUAUAUUUCUAAAUGAGCACGCAUCCAAAUAAAUCCACUCUCUAAGUUACACAGACAUGGCAAGAUGCGUAGAUGCCCUGGCUAAAUGAAUCUUAGUAUCCUGCCUAAGAUGGGGAACGUGGUUGGAGUGGUUGGCUUAGUCAUGAAUACCGUUAAUAGCUGAGUGUGAGGCUGUGUUCACCUUUACAGCAUACUUGUUUAAACUGGGACUGUACAAGAGUGUGGUCCAACCGUUGUGUAAGUAGUGAUGAACGAAGCUCCAGAUGAGAGGGAAAGUCCAGUUGGUUUAAUCCCACUGUAACCCAACUUAAAGAUACAGUACCACAUGAAAGAGAGAUACAGGUAACAAAGCAAGAAGUGUGGAGAGCAAAAGCUGACGUAGCUCUUAAAUCGAUUUGGAAAAGGCAAUAAUGAAAACUGCUGCAAGCCAAACCUAACCAAUCUUUUGACUGUUGGCUUGGCAGGAUUCAUUGGAAACAACUUCAAUUACAUUUCCUUUCAUCUUACCACUAAUUUGUUUUAAAUAAUUUCUUCAUUUAAAAUCCGAAUUCCUAGUCAAUAUAAAUGAAGAGAGUACUCAUUAAGCUAAUGCAAUAGCUUGGAAUUCAUAAGGGCAAACUCAGAG